UACGUAGGGUGCAAGCGUUAAUCGGAAUUACUGGGCGUAAAGCGUGCGCAGGCGGUUUGCUAAGUCAGGUGUGAAAUCCCCGGGCUUAACCUGGGAACUGCGCUUGUAACUGGCAAGCUGGAGUGUGGCAGAGGGGGGUGGAAUUCCACGUGUAGCAGUGAAAUGCGUAGAGAUGUGGAGGAACACCGAUGGCGAAGGCAGCCCCCUGGGCUAACACUGACGCUCAUGCACGAAAGCGUGGGGAGCAAACAGG
rnacentral:rRNA from 1 species